rnacentral:rRNA from 1 species
GGAGGGUGCAAGCGUUGUUCGGAAUUAUUGGGCGUAAAGAGCGUGUAGGCGGUCCGGUAAGUCAGAUGUGAAAGCCCUGGGCUCAACCCAGGAGGUGCAUUUGAAACUACCAGACUUGAGUACGGGAGAGGAGGGGGGAAUUCCCGGUGUAGAGGUGAAAUUCGUAGAUAUCGGGAGGAAUACCAGUGGCGAAGGCGCCCCUCUGGACCGAUACUGACGCUGAGACGCGAAAGCGUGGGGAGCAAACAGGAUUAGAUACCUGGGUAGUCCACGCCGUAAACGAUGAGCACUAGGUGUAGCGGGUAUUGACCCCCCUGCUGUGCCGUAGCUAACGCAUUAAGUGCUCCGCCUGGGGGACUACGGUCGCAAGACUAA